GUGGGGAAUUUUGGACAAUGGGCGCAAGCCUGAUCCAGCCAUUCCGCGUGAGUGAAGAAGGCCUUCGGGUUGUAAAGCUCUUUCGCAAGGGAAGAAACGUUACCGGUGAAUAUCCGGUGAUAAUGACGGUACCUUGAUAAGAAGCACCGGCUAACUACGUGCCAGCAGCCGCGGUAAUACGUAGGGUGCGAGCGUUAAUCGGAAUUACUGGGCGUAAAGCGUGCGCAGGCGGUUUUGUAAGUCAGAUGUGAAAUCCCCGAGCUCAACUUGGGAACUGCGUUUGAAACUACAAGACUAGAAUAGGUCAGAGGGGGGUAGAAUUCCACGUGUAGCAGUGAAAUGCGUAGAGAUGUGGAGGAAUAUCAAUGGCGAAGGCAGCCCCCUGGGAUCAUAUUGACGCUCAUGCACGAAAGCGUGGGGAGCAAACAGGAUUAGAUACCCCGGUAGUCC
rnacentral:rRNA from 1 species